GCGGUGGUUUUUAAAGCUCCUUUAAAUGAUCUCUUCCCAAAGAAAACUCCCGUGUAAUCUGCCGGCGAGAGAGGGAGGGCUGCUGAGCCAUGAAUUAUUCAGGGAAGGCUCUCGGGAGCCUCUGGAGAUUAUUCCCACCAUUGUCCGCCCUGAUGGGUCAUUAUGCGCUCCCCGGAUUUAAUCUUUGGGGCUAUCCAGCGGCACAGAAAAAAUGGAUGAAUAACAAUUUUCCUGUAAUAACCUUCAACUAACCUUUCAACCGGAGAGACCGGAGCAGCCCAGGCCCAGCUGCUCCUUUCCCCCCAUCCCCUAAAUGUCCAAAACUGCCCUUUUUGCCCUCGCUCCUCCCGGGAAUAUCGCCAGGAUCAUCGGCUGCAUUUAAAGUCCAGCACCGAGCAGAUCCCUCCUGGUGAGAGCAGGAAUUCCACGGGCGAAGGAGCCCAUUGUUCCCGGAGAAUGGCACUGGGAAUGGGGAAUGCUCGGCUCCCAUCCCCUGUCCCGGCGGAUUUAAGAGCGCGGGGAUCCGUCAGAGCAUCCCAAACGCUGGGAUCGCGGCCGGGCGGCUUUAAGAGCCCUGGAAUGCGAUGGGAAGCGGGAGCUGCCGCCAGCUGGCACGGCCCGGAGCUCCGGAUCAAUGCCGGGAUUGUUCGGGACCACGGCGACGAGAAAGGAGAGGAACGGAGAGGGAAAACCAGCUGGAGGGAGACUGGGAUUGAAGUUUCCGCGUGAGCCGUGAUUUGUAGAUAUUCCCAUUAAAAUCCCACUUUGUCUCUGGCCUCUCC